AUGGUCAAGAACCACCCGGGCAGCGGCACUAGCAGGUGCGACGCUGCAGCGGCUAUGGCAGAGAGCGGUGGUGGGGGUGGGACGGCAACGCUGUGCGGCGGCGGGAGUAGGCAGCCGGCGAUGGCGGUGAGGCAGUUCAAGGGGGUGCGGAUGCGGAGCUGGGGGUCGUGGGUGUCGGAGAUCAGGGCGCCGCAUCAGAAGCGCCGGAUCUGGCUCGGCUCCUACGCCACCCCGGAGGCCGCCGCGCGCGCCUACGACGCCGCGCUCCUCUGCCUCAAGGGCUCCGACGCCGUCCUCAACUUCCCCUCCUCGUCCUCCGCCUCACCCUCGUCGCCGCAUUCGCUUCCCUCCCCCGCCGACGACUUGUCCCCGAGGUCCAUCCAGCGCGCGGCCGUAGCUGCGGCAGCGGCCUUUGAAGCCACGAGGAUCGUCGCCGGCGUCGUGGACGACAGCUGCUCUUCCAGCGCCGAGGCGACGACGCCGACCUCGGUCUCAGUGUCCACGCUGGGAAGCGCCGACGUCCAGGAGCACACCACGUCUUCGAUGUCCGCCGCGGCCAGCGCUGGCUCGCCGGCGGGAGAUCACGACGAGCUGUGGACGGAGCUGGACGCAUUCGCGUCCCCCAAGCUCAUGGACCUCAUCGCCGCCGGUCACGCCACGCCCUUCUCUUCCACCUGGGAGGAGCCCGAGGAGGACGGCGAGAUGAUGAGGCUGUGGAGCUUCUGCUAG
rnacentral:rRNA from 1 species